CCACCGACACACACCCUUUCUUGAGGGCUCAGGGGGAGUGGCUAAAGUGCCACUUCACAGCAAGCUCCUUAGUCCUCAUUGCGCCACACACAACCUGCUGCUUAGAAUCGCUCCCUGGCCCUUCCACCUCUCCGAUUGCCAGAUAAUUUCACACAAGGGAGACUGAACACAAAGCAGCAUUCCUGGAAGGGAGCAGCUACUCGGUCUUCAGAAGGAGCGGUCUUUUCCCACUUCUGACACAGGUCAUCACACGCACGACUUUAACGCAGAGCAACAGCCAAGUCUCCAAAUUAGUCAGCUAUAAAGUAACCAGAAUGCCUGUAUUUAACACACAGCGAGGAUCUAUUACAGCAGCAGGGGAUGCCAACACAAUACUUGAAUCACAGAAAAGCACACCACAAUCAGGAUACAGAAAACACCACUAGAAACUCAUUAUGGAAAAAGACUGGAAGCUAAAGCUCUAAAAAGACUCAGCGAUUAAAACCAUGAUUCUACUUGACCCUCAAAAA